GAUGAAGAACGCAGCGAAAUGCGAUAAGUAAUGUGAAUUGCAGAAUUCAGUGAAUCAUCGAAUCUUUGAACGCACAUUGCGCCCAUUAGUAUUCUAGUGGGCAUGCCUGUUCGAGCGUCAUUUCAACCCUUAAGCCUAGCUUAGUAUUGGGAAUCGACUUUACUGUCGUUCCUCAAAUUCAACGGCGGAUUUAUAGCAAUCUCUGAACGUAGUAAUUUUUUUCCUCGUUUUUGAAAUACUAUAAACCUCAGCCGCUAAACCACCAAUUUUUUUAUGGUUGACCUCGGAUCAGGUAGGAAUACCCGCUGAACUUAAGCAUAUCAAUAAGCGGAGCA
rnacentral:misc_RNA from 1 species